CCUACGGGCGGCAGCAGUGGGGAAUAUUGGACAAUGGGGGAAACCCUGAACCAGCAACGCCGCGUGAGGGAAGACGGUUUUCGGAUUGUAAACCUCUGUCCUCUGUGAAGAAAAUGACGGUAGCAGAGGAAGAAGCCCCGGCUAACUACGUGCCAGCAGCCGCGGUAAUACGUAGGGAGCGAGCGUUGUCCGGAUUUACUGGGUGUAAAGGGUGCGUAGGCGGGUGAGCAAGUCAGAAGUGAAAUCCAUGGGCUUAACCCAUGAACUGCUUUGGAAACUGUUUAUCUGGAGUGAAGUAGAGGUAGGCGGAAUUCCCGGUGUAGCGGUGAAAUGCGUAGAGAUCGGGAGGAACACCAGUGGCGAAGGCGGCUUACUGGGCUUUAACUGACGCUGAAGCACGAAAGCGUGGGUAGCAAACAGGAUUAGAUACCCUUGUAGUC
rnacentral:rRNA from 1 species